GAGAACCGCGUUUUUUCGGCGUACACACACACACACACACACACACAGCCCCGGGGAAAGAAAUGGGACUUUAAUUAAAUCCCCCCAGGGGUAUCAACUCAAAAAGGCAAGUUCCAUUGUGCGAGCAGGUCGUCCAAAGGAAUGCUGGCAGGAAAUAGUAAAGCAUUUCUGGCAGAAGACGCGGUUAAAGAGGAAAAGAUGCAUGCAGAGGAUGAAGGCGGGACGCGAGCGGAGGGAGUCCAGCUUGGGGCUGAGGGAGAUGGAGAACCCCGGGAGUACCAAGGUUGCGACUCUCCUAUUUACACCUAAGGCUGCCUUGGACCGUUAACAGCACUACUACAGCGCCCUCUGCUGCAUGUAGCAACGAUGCAUGAGAACCCAAACAUCUCCUCAAAAGUUGCACCUAGCUGGAGACAACCCAAAAGUGCCAAAGACAAAUUUGCUUCUCUGGGCCCUGGCACUGUUUGUCACUCUCCUGGUAAGCAAGGACCUCGUCUUUGUAGCCUACAAACAAAACGAGCAGGCUGUAUGAUAAAUAAGCCUCCAUCUGCUUCGCAAAGCUUGGUCCAUCAGUUUGUAACAAAGUUGAAAUUGGAAUAAUAUCGCUUGUUCAUUUUAGAGUAUGUGUAGGCAAUAUUGAUGUGCCCUUGAAAAAAUAUUCUCUGCCAGUGAAUGCAUUUUUGAUAUGUCUGAAGGUCAGGAUUGAUUUGCAUUCAUUGUGUACUCCACCAGAGUGGAUUGUUGAGUACUUAAAAAUUAAAUAAAAGCACAUUGAUAGUU